CAACGACCACCCAGGGCCGGAAAGUUGGUCAAACCCGGUCAUUUAGAGGAAGUAAAAGUCGUAACAAGGUCUCCGUAGGUGAACCUGCGGAGGGAUCAUU
rnacentral:rRNA from 2 species